UACAGAGGUCUCAAGCGUUGUUCGGAUUCAUUGGGCGUAAAGGGUGCGUAGGUGGCGCGGUAAGUCGGGUGUGAAAUUUCGGAGCUUAACUCCGAAACUGCAUUCGAUACUGCCGUGCUUGAGGACUGGAGAGGAGACUGGAAUUUACGGUGUAGCAGUGAAAUGCGUAGAGAUCGUGAGGAAGACCAGUGGCGAAGGCGGGUCUCUGGACAGUUCCUGACACUGAGGCACGAAGGCCAGGGGAGCAAACGGG
rnacentral:rRNA from 1 species